UGGGCACACAAAUAAUAACAAGAAUGGUGUUAGAGUAGGAGGAGAAGGAAGAAUAAGAAAACAAAGAAAAAGAAAAAAAGAAAGAAGAGGUGAAUGAAGAGGAAGAAGAUCAAAUUACAAUAUUUACCGAUGAAUAAUUAUCAAUGGAUUUGAGUCGCUUAUAAUUACUGACAAACAAUUGCAAACGAAUUUUUGUUGAUUAGUAAUUAGAUGGAUUUUAUGAUCUGUAG
rnacentral:lncRNA from 1 species